GACGAACGCUGGCGGCGUGCUUAACACAUCUUUAGUCGAACGGUAAGGCUCCAGCUUGCUGGGGUACACGAGUGGCGAACGGGUGAGUAACACGUGGGUGACCUGCCCUGCACUUCGGGAUAAGCCUGGGAAACUGGGUCUAAUACCGGAUAGGACCGCACCGUGAGGGUGUGGUGGAAAGUUUUUUCGGUGUGGGAUGGGCCCGCGGCCUAUCAGCUUGUUGGUGGGGUAAUGGCCUACCAAGGCGGCGACGGGUAGCCGGCCUGAGAGGGUGGACGGCCACAUUGGGACUGAGACACGGCCCAGACUCCUACGGGAGGCAGCAGUGGGGAAUAUUGCACAAUGGGCGGAAGCCUGAUGCAGCGACGCCGCGUGGGGGAUGACGGCCUUCGGGUUGUAAACUCCUUUCACCAUCGACGAAGGGUUUCUGACGGUAGAUGGAGAAGAAGCACCGGCUAACUACGUGCCAGCAGCCGCGGUAAUACGUAGGGUGCGAGCGUUGUCCGGAAUUACUGGGCGUAAAGAGCUCGUAGGUGGUUUGUCGCGUCGUCUGUGAAAUUCCGGGGCUUAACUCCGGGCGUGCAGGCGAUACGGGCAUAACUUGAGUACUGUAGGGGAGACUGGAAUUCCUGGUGUAGCGGUGAAAUGCGCAGAUAUCAGGAGGAACACCGGUGGCGAAGGCGGGUCUCUGGGCAGUAACUGACGCUGAGGAGCGAAAGCAUGGGGAGCGAACAGGAUUAGAUACCCUGGUAGUCCAUGCCGUAAACGGUGGGCGCUAGGUGUGGGUUUCCUUCCACGGGAUCCGUGCCGUAGCUAACGCAUUAAGCGCCCCGCCUGGGGAGUACGGCCGCAAGGCUAAAACUCAAAGGAAUUGACGGGGGCCCGCACAAGCGGCGGAGCAUGUGGAUUAAUUCGAUGCAACGCGAAGAACCUUACCUGGGCUUGACAUAUACAGGAUCGCGCCAGAGAUGGUGUUUCCCUUGUGGCUUGUAUACAGGUGGUGCAUGGUUGUCGUCAGCUCGUGUCGUGAGAUGUUGGGUUAAGUCCGCAACGAGCGCAACCCUUGUCUUAUGUUGCCAGCACGUUGUGGUGGGGACUCGUAAGAAACUGCCGGGGUUAACUCGGAGGAAGGUGGGGAUGACGUCAAAUCAUCAUGCCCCUUAUGUCCAGGGCUUCACACAUGCUACAAUGGUCGGUACAGUGGGUUGCCAGUCCGUGAGGGCGAGCUAAUCCCGCAAAGCCGGUCUCAGUUCGGAUCGGGGUCUGCAACUCGACCCCGUGAAGUCGGAGUCGCUAGUAAUCGCAGAUCAGCAACGCUGCGGUGAAUACAAACCCGGGCCU
rnacentral:rRNA from 1 species